CACUGAUAUAUCAUUAAAGAGCCGCGGUAUUUUGACCGUGCAAAGGUAGCAUAAUCAUUAGUCUUUUAAUUGAGGAAUAGAAUGAAAGGUUUGAUGAGAAAUAGACUGUCUUUAAUCUGAAUAUAGAAUUUAUUUUUUGAGUUAAAAAGCUUAAAUAAAAAUUAAGGACGAGAAGACCCCUAUAGAGUUUAAUAUAAUUUUAAUUAGUUUAAUUUAAGAUAAUAUAAAUUAUUUAAUUAAGAUUAUAUUUAGUUGGGGCGAUUUUAAAGAUAAAUAAACCUUUAUUAUAUAAGAACAAUAAUUUAUGAACAUUUUUUUGAUCCAUUAAAAUAAUGAUUAAAAGAAUAAACUACCUUAGGGAUAACAGCGUAAUUAUUUUUGAGAGUUCUAAUCAAUAAAGUAGAUUGCGACCUCGAUGUUGGAUUAAGGUAAAGUUAAGGUGUAGCAGCUUUAAUGUUAGGUCUGUUCGACCAUUAAAUCCUU
rnacentral:rRNA from 1 species